GGGUGAGUAACGCGUAUCCAACCUUCCGUACACUCAGGGAUAGCCUUUCGAAAGAAAGAUUAAUACCUGAUGGUAUGAUGAGAUUGCAUGAUAGCAUCAUUAAAGAUUUAUCGGUGUACGAUGGGGAUGCGUUCCAUUAGGUAGUAGGCGGGGUAACGGCCCACCUAGCCAACGAUGGAUAGGGGUUCUGAGAGGAAGGUCCCCCACAUUGGAACUGAGACACGGUCCAAACUCCUACGGGAGGCAGCAGUGAGGAAUAUUGGUCAAUGGACGAGAGUCUGAACCAGCCAAGUAGCGUGAAGGAUGAAGGUCCUACGGAUUGUAAACUUCUUUUAUAAGGGAAUAAACCCUCCCACGUGUGGGAGCUUGUAUGUACCUUAUGAAUAAGCAUCGGCUAACUCCGUGCCAGCAGCCGCGGUAAUACGGAGGAUGCGAGCGUUAUCCGGAUUUAUUGGGUUUAAAGGGAGCGCAGACGGGUCGUUAAGUCAGCUGUGAAAGUUUGGGGCUCAACCUUAAAAUUGCAGUUGAUACUGGCGUCCUUGAGUGCGGUUGAGGUGUGCGGAAUUCGUGGUGUAGCGGUGAAAUGCUUAGAUAUCACGAAGAACUCCGAUUGCGAAGGCAGCACACUAAUCAGUAACUGACGUUCAUGCUGGAAAGUGUGGGUAUCAAACAGGAUUAGAUACCCUGGUAGUCCACACGGUAAACGAUGGAUACUCGCG
rnacentral:rRNA from 1 species